ensembl:lncRNA
CUAGGCUGUGUCCAAAUAUCCACACUACCCUACUGUCUAUACAGUAAGUGAAAAGAAGUAUGCCAAAGGAGUAGUAUGUCUGAUUCAGUAUUCAUAAAACAGUAGGGGAGAAAUACCUGGAUGUCCUACUCCUUCUGCCAAGAUUCUGUAGUAUGGAACUGUUGGGCACUGUGCUAUCCCAUAAGGCAAUGCGACUGGUGUGGAAGAGGUGUCUGAAUCAAAAAUGGCGGAAAACAGUGUGUUGGCGCUUUAAGUCAUCGAGCUGUUGGACAGCUGUUGAAACCUGCGUGGGGGGAACUUAGUCUACGAGCUUGCCCCUUGGAGCCUCACUGGCCAAACCAUUUUCAUGUCAGAGACAGAGUCUUCUUGCAGUCGUUUAUGUCAUCCUUUCCUUUCUGGACAGAGAAUA